AUGGGGGAGGGGAGCGGGUGACCUUAUCAGAAAUGCAGAUUCCUGGGCCCCACCCCAGACGGACCGAAUUAAGAGUCCCAGAGUGACGGCAGAAAUCUCCAUUUUUGACGGGCUCCCGCUGGGAUUCGGGUGUCUGCUCAUCUGGAAGCCUCCAUGCUGGAGAGGUAGUCAGCACAGCGCACGCAGGGCGUAGGCGUGUUUUCUCGUCCCUCCCUCGCAACCAUAGUCCCGCUCAAGGCGUGGGGGUGUCACCCGAGACCCGGGCCUCCCCUGCACUUUCCUUUAGGCCGAAACCGCGAGCCUUCGCUUCAGUGUCGCUUUUCCUUCGCCGCCGCCGCCGACGCCGCCGCCGCUGCCGCUCUUCUCAGGACCUAGAUCGACUGCCCAGUCGGCUGAGCUGGGCCCUGGGCCACCGAGGCCCGGGGAGCUGAGGGGCUCGGGACCCUGCGAGCCGCUUAAGAAAGGACCGCAAGAACCGAAUGCAGUGAACUGCGAGAGCAGGGAAUGAGAGACAAGUUAAACCGUUUAGCAAAAAAAAAUAAGAGACAUGAUGGAGGCAGAAAAUAAAUUGUAGGGGGGAGGGAAAAAAGCGUUACGACUCCGCCGGGACUCGAACCCGGAACCUUUGAAUGCCUUCAGCCUCUAGAAGUCCAAUGCGCUAUCCAUUGCGCCACGGAGCCACCUGUUGGAGUCUCAGCGCAUCUGCUGUGUUAAGCCAGAGGCGACGGCCGCGCGCUCUUCCGACCGCCCCUCCCGUCGUCAGUGUCACCGAGACCCAGCCGCCGCGCUCAGGGCACUGCCAUCCGCCUCAAACGCCGGCCGCAGGCUCUCGGUCUCCCCGCAGUGGUCGCCCCUCAACAAGGGAGACAUUACCUCAUCCCUCAAGAUUGCUCGCUGCAAACACAACGCUGAGAAAUGGCCCAAGUAAAGCGUGAUCAGGGUCUUGCAUUCUUGGCACAUCUAGGAAGAACGUGCAAGGAUGCGAAUUGUGAAUCGCUUCUCCAAACAGGAACAAUGGAGGCCUGCGAUUUGGAGUUAAACUCUCGGUGAUCUCUGUGUUGACAACACCAAAGCUAGAGGAAUCCAGUAGGAUGUGGGCAUGGUUUUCCCGGAAGGCUGACUGAGCAGUUCUGCAAAUGUUUGCAAGUACAGGGCAGAAUUUCAUCCAGCCUCGGAACCUUGAGCCAAGACUCAGCAUCAGCAAAGCCAAAAGUUUCAUUUCUUCAACUGUGGGAGUGCUAGUCCCACCCUUUAGAUGGCCAUUCAGUUUUAAGUUCAAUAAGCAUUUUGAUUGAGAAAUACUUUGCUGAGGAGUGAAAAGUCCUUGGCUUUGAAAGACGAAUGAUGAGCAGUUCAGUGGCCCAUGUCACAGUCCAGGCACCUGCCGAAGGUGACUCCUUGGGAGGAGCAUCUUAGUCACAGAGCCAGUGCCUGCUGUAGGUGUGCAGAAGGGUGCGUGUGUGUGUGUGUGUGUAUGUGUACGUGUACAUGUGUGUUGGGGGAAGGGAGCAAGGUUAUGGGAGCAUUUCUUAUCUGCUCUCCUCUGCAAGAUUUCCUGUGAUUUAAGUCACAUUAAAGUACCCAUAAGCCCAUAAUGCAAAAGAACCCCAAAACCAGCCCAGCAGCCAACCAUGGCAGCAAGUAGAUGCUCUGGUCUUUAGAUAGUCAGAAAUGACACUUCUGGGCUCUCAGGCAGUCAGUGGGUUGAGCUCCCCAUUAAAGUCCCCCUGCCAAGUCUGGAAUAGUCCUAGUCCCGUGUGUGUGUGUGUGUGUGUGUGUGUGUGUGUGUACCCGCGUGCAUAUGCGCGCAUGCAGUGCAGGGUCUGCAUACCUAAAGCAGAUGAAAUUCUGCAGAAUGGCUGCCUCACUAGACAAAGUCAAGAAGACAGACCGAGGAGAGAGAGGUUGAUGUGUCUCCACUACCAAGAGAUAGGCUUCUCUAAGCCAGCAAGACAUCCCAUCCAACAAUAUGAAACUGGCCACAUUUCCUUGAGAUGUCAACGUUGAAAGUGUAGCUGCAUCUUUAUUCUUCACUGUUAUGAAGUUGGGUGCAACAUAGCUUGAGUGGAAUACAAAAACACCGCUUGGAAACACAUGAUCUGGAUUUGAAUCGCAGCUGUAUCAUUCACCU
rnacentral:lncRNA from 1 species